rnacentral:lncRNA from 1 species
GCUUAUAGAAUACUCGGCCUGCGCGCCACGUAGGCUUUGUAGUUUCUAGGGUCAACAUUUUGGCACGCCCAGUGGGACCCAGUGCUAAAACUACGAAGUUCAUAUGAUAUAUCAAGAUUCCAAUCUGGCUCAACGUAGCCGAUUGUACGAGCUCCUGGAGGAAUUGAAAAAACAUAAUGAGGAACGUAAAAAAUCUUUGGAAGCAGAAAAAGUUCUUCGUGGCCAUAGAGAGAUGCAAAAGUCAUUCGCUUGCAUGUUGGAAAUAAAAGCUCCUGUUACCCUGCAA